rnacentral:lncRNA from 1 species
ACGAGGCAUAUGAAUUAGAGAUUGAGUAAUUUUUAUUAUACAAAGGGAUCUGUGAAUAAUUUUAUCUCAACACUUUCCCAUUUGUUCUGCUCGCACAAAGCUUAGAUUAGGAUGUUUCAAGAUUAGAAUAAUUUUCUCUUCCCCUGACAUUUCUCCAAUUGGUCUUUUCUUCUCACUUCCAUCUUGUGUAAGCCAGGAAGAUACCACUCUUUCUUUAAUGGCUCUCCAUGU